rnacentral:miRNA from 1 species
CAGCGCCGAUGAUGAUGAUGAUUAUGAUGAAGGCGACACUCGACUGCAUUUGCACUUAAGUGUGCAGUUCUUAGCAUCAUCAUCAUCAUCAUCAUCUUUU